AGAGUUUGAUCAUGGCUCAGGAUGAACGCUAGCUACAGGCUUAACACAUGCAAGUCGAGGGGAAACGACAUCGGAAGCUUGCUUUUUGAUGGGCGUCGACCGGCGCACGGGUGAGUAACGCGUAUCCAACCUGCCCACCACUUGGGGAUAACCUUGCGAAAGUAAGACUAAUACCCAAUGAUAUCUCUAGAAGACAUCUGAAAGAGAUUAAAAGAUUUAUCGGUGAUGGAUGGGGAUGCGUCUGAUUAGCUUGUUGGCGGGGUAACGGCCCACCAAGGCGACGAUCAGUAGGGGUUCUGAGAGGAAGGUCCCCCACAUUGGAACUGAGACACGGUCCAAACUCCUACGGGAGGCAGCA
rnacentral:rRNA from 1 species